CAACAUCCUACGUUGAAAAUGGACUAGACGAUACUGAUAAUAAUAAUGGUUUUAUGCAAAAUUGCAGUGCAACAGAUCACUCAACGGUUGCUGAGCAUGAAUUAACAUUUUUAGCGCUUGGAAUAGUUUCAACAUCCUAUGUUUAAUAUGGAUUAGAAGAUUGCAGUACAGCAGAUCUUUCAAGCCAUGAUGAAACAUGAAUUAUCGUUUUUAGCACUUGGGAAAAUUUGGACAUCCCAUGUUGAAAUUUGACUAGACAAUACUGAUAAUAAUAAUAAUAAUAAUGGUAUUUUGCAUGAUUGCAGUACAGCAGAUCUUUCAAGCCAUGAUGAAACAUGAAUUAUGGUUUUUAGCACUUGGGAAAAUUUGGACAUCCCAUGUUGAAAUUUGACUAGACAAUACUGAUAAUAAUAAUAAUAAUAAUGGUAUUUUGCAUGAUUGCAGUACAGCAGAUCUUUCAAGCCAUGAUGAAACAUGAAUUAUGGUUUUUAGCACUUGGGAAAAUUUGGACAUCCCAUGUUGAAAUUUGACUAGACAAUACUGAUAAUAAUAAUAAUAAUAAUGGUAUUUUGCAUGAUUGCAGUACAGCAGAUCUUUCAAGCCAUGAUGAAACAUGAAUUAUGGUUUUUAGCACUUGGGAAAAUUUGGACAUCCCAUGUUGAAAUUUGACUAGACAAUACUGAUAAUAAUAAUAAUAAUAAUGGUAUUUUGCAUGAUUGCAGUACAGCAGAUCUU